UUGAAACCAUGGGAAGACUCUGCGACGUUUGCGAGAGCGCAGCGGCCAUUCUUUUCUGCGCUGCCGACGAGGCUGCUAUUUGCAGUUCUUGUGACGAGAAGGUAUACCUACCUUGAUGCCCUCCUAUCAUUUCUUAUCUCCUGCUUCUUCUGGUGUU